CCUACGGGAGGCAGCAGUGAGGAAUAUUGGUCAAUGGACGAGAGUCUGAACCAGCCAAGUAGCGUGAAGGAUGACUGCCCUAUGGGUUGUAAACUUCUUUUAUAAAGGAAUAAAACGAGGCACGUGUGCCUUUUUGCAUGUACUUUAUGAAUAAGGAUCGGCUAACUCUGUGCCAGCAGCCGCGGUAAUACGGAGGAUCCGAGCGUUAUCCGGAUUUAGUGGGUUUAAAGGGAGCGUAGAUGGGUUGUUAAGUCAGUUGUGAAAGUUUGCGGCUCAACCGUAAAAUUGCAAUUGAUACUGGCAGUCUUGAGUACAGUUGAGGUAGGCGGAAUUCGUGGUGUAGCGGUGAAAUGCUUAGAUAUCACGAAGAACCCCGAUUGCGAAGGCAGCUUACUAAACUGUGACUGACAUUGAUGCUCGAAAGUGUGAGUAUCAAACAGGAUUAGAUACCCCGGUAGUC
rnacentral:rRNA from 1 species